UAGCUCCCAGCCCACUGACUCGGGUUUCUGGAUCAGGAGACAAACAGAGAAGGCAGCUUAAAGUUCUUUCCUCACUGCAGCUCAGGAAGGAGAGGCUCUGCACCCAGCACAAGAGCACAUCCUGGCACUUGAACUCAUGAUUCUGAGAUCAAGACCUGAGCCGAGAUCAAGAGGCAAUCGCUGAUGGAGCCAUCCAGACGCCCCCAGUUCAUUCCCUUUUGAUGGCUGAAUAAUAUUCCAGUGUACGGAUAGACCACAUUUUGUUAUCCCUUCAUCAAUUGAUGGAAUUUAGGUUGUCGUCCCUUUUGGCCAUUGUGAAUAAUGCUGGAUAAUAUUGUACAAGUAUUUGUUUUCAAUUACUUGGGGUAUAUACCUAAGAAUGAGAA